AGCUGGGCCCGCUCUUUACCCAUAUAUACACAAGGUGAACUUUAGUAAGAAAUAACAACAAAGGCAGGAUCUCGCCAAAACUGGGCCAGCUUGGGUACCUGGGUUGGCUUGCAGUUACACCAUAUAAACAGCCCCUAUAUAUAGGCAGUAUAUAUUUUGUCUGGUAAUUGGAGUCUUUGGAGAUUUUGUGUGUAAAUGAAUAUAAAAAUGAC